GGAGGAACUGCAGCCUGGGAGUCAGGAGAGGCUGUAGCACCUCUGGUAGGACAGCUGGCUCCAUCCUGGGAGCCAUGCCUCUGUUCCCAGGUAUACAUCAAGUGUGUGCAGGGGCAGGGUAGUCCCUGCUACUUCUCGUAGGAUCCUCUAGGGGAUGUCUAAUUCCCCAAGAGGACUGAGGCUAUUCUGGGGCCUGGAGCCUCCAUUUCCUGACCUGUAUAAUUGGCCUCAUAGCACUGCCGCCUCCUUUCCCCAGCCCCUCCUCCCACCUCGCUGGAGUGAAGUGAAGUGACCACUUAGGAGGGACACCACAGGGCUUUCCAGGGUGAAGGGCCUGGGAUGGGAGGGGGGCUAGGUGACCCUCUGGAGUCCCAGCCCAGGCCUGGUCAGCCUUGCUGCUCCCUCUGUCCUCCACCUCACUCCCCGUAUAGCCUGGCUUUGGCCCUUCAAAGAGACUGUGAGGAAAUGUGCCCGGAGCUGGGUGACCGCCCUGCAGCUCAUGGAGCGGAACCCUGAAUUCAUCUUUGCCUGCUCCCAGGCGCAGCAGCUGGAAUGGGUGAAGAGCCGCUACCCUGGCCUGUACUCCCGCAUUCAGGAGUUUGCGUGCCGUGGGCAGUUUGUGCCUGUGGGGGGCACCUGGGUGGAGAUGGAUGGGAACCUGCCCAGUGGAGAGGCCAUGGUGAGGCAGUUUUUGCAGGGCCAGAACUUCUUU
rnacentral:sRNA from 1 species